rnacentral:tRNA from 1 species
CCUGUCAUAGCUUAAUGGUCAGAGCAAUGGUGCGUAAAGCUAAAGGUCCCGGGUUCGAUUCCCGGGUGAGGGUG